rnacentral:rRNA from 1 species
AUUGAACGCUGGCGGCAGGCCUAACACAUGCAAGUCGAGCGAGCGGCGGACGGGUGAGUAAUGUCUGGGAAACUGCCUGAUGGAGGGGGAUAACUACUGGAAACGGUAGCUAAUACCGCAUACCAUCAGAUGUGCCCAGAUGGGAUUAGCUAGUAGGUGGGGUAACGGCUCACCUAGGGGACGAUCCCUAGCUGGUCUGAGAGUAUGAACAGACAAACGGGAAAUGAGACACGGGCCAGACUCCUACGGGAGGCAGCAGUGGGGAAGAUUGCACAAUGGGCGCAAGCAUGAUGCAGCCAUGCCGCGUGGGUGAAGAAGGCAUUCGUGUUGUAAAGCACUCGCAGCGGGGAGGCGUUAACCGCAGAAGAAGAACCGGCUAGCUCCGUGCAAGCAGCCGCGGUAAUAC